rnacentral:ncRNA from 1 species
AUUAUAUAAGACAAGAAGACCCUGUGGAGCUUAAAAUUACAACUUAAGUAAAUAUACUUUAUUCUCCUAAGGGAUCAAACUUAUAGAAACUUUAAGUUGAAUUUUUGGUUGUGGUGACCUCGGAGCACAAGAAAACCUCCGAAUGACAUAACUAAGAUUAAGCAAUCCAAGUGCCAUAAGUCAGUAAUUGCCCCAAAUUCUGAUCAACGGAACAAGUUACCCAGGGAUAACAGCGCAAUCCUAUUUAAGAGCCCAUAUCGACAAUUAGGGUUUACGACCUUGAUGUUGGAUCAGGACACCCAAAUGGUGCAGCCGCUAUUAAAGGUUCAUUUGUUCAAUGAUUAAAGUCCUAUGUAAUCUGAGUUCAGACCAGAGAAAUCCAGGUCGGUUUCUAUCUAUAUAAU